UCUGCGUGUGUGUGCAUGCAUGUGUGUGUGGUUCUGCGUGUGUGUGCAUGCAUGUGUGUAUGCGGCUCUGCGUGUGUGUGCAUGCAUGUGUGUGUGGUUCUGCGUGUGUGUGUGCAUGCAUGUGUGUGUAUGCAUGUGUGUGCCUCUGUGUGUGUGUGUGUGCUAGUGACAGCGUCCUCUUCUGCCCUGCAGGGAGCAGGAAGGUAAGCACACACCUAUACACUCAUUUGGAUGAAGGACAGCCUGGUUUGAAACUGACCCCCUCUUCUCUCCUCCCUGGUGGCCGCGGCCUUCCCUUCCAGCAGACGGAGCCGUGGAAGAUCAGGAAGAGGCAGCAGAAGGUGAGGCCGAGGCUGAGGCCGAGGACCAUGCAGGAGAAGAUGGACAAGAAGAGGAAGCUAAAGAGGCUGAAGAUGGCCCAGUGGAAGAGUUCAAACCCAAGCCCAGGUGAGUGGGACGCAGCUGUGGUGAAGCCCUGGGAGCAGAGGGCCAGUGAGGGAGGAUGAUCAGGACAGGACAGGAGAGCAGUGUGGCACAGUGGGUGUGGGCUGGGGGUGCGGCAGGCACAGAGCACCAUGUAUGGUUGUACAGGUUGUGUACUGCACAAGAGGUUCUACCUGGGGGGAGGGUAGUGGGGGCUGAAAUCUAUUCCACGUUUCAUUACCAAUUUCGUGCCCUGGCAUGGACAGCACUGAGUUCAUCUAGAGGAAAGUGAUGGACAAGUCAUGGCCCUCCCACAUCCCACAGGAUAGCUAGAACAUCCUCCUCCGUGGCUGAGGUGGGACCUGGGGGAAGACGGAAGA
rnacentral:lncRNA from 1 species